AUGCUCCGCCUCCGCCUCGGAUGCCGCGCCCUGUCCCAGCUCCUCCCGCCCCCAUCCUCGUCUCCCAUCUCCCAGCUCCUCGGCUACCACAGCCGCCUCCUCUCCGCGGCCGCGCCCGUCGUCUCCCCAAACCCUAGCUUCGCCGUGGAGGAUUACCUCGUCUCCACCCGCGGCCUCGUCCGAGCGCAGGCCCUCAAGGCCUCCCCCAAGCUCGCCCACCUCAGGUCCCCCGCCAACCCCGACGCCGUGCUCGCCUUCCUCGCCGGCCUCGGCCUCUCCGGCGCCGACGUGGCCGCCCUCGUCGCCAGGGAGCCCCAGUUGCUCUGCGCCAAAGUGGAGAGGACCCUGGCCCCCAACGUCGCCGCGCUCACCGGCGUGGGGUUAUCGCGUUCUGAGAUCGUCGGCCUCCUGUCGCUCGGAUGCGGCAAACUCCGCUCUAGAUCCGACGUCUCCAAGCUGCAGUACCACCUGUCCCUCUUCGGCUCCAUCGACAACUUCCUCCAUGCUCUCAAGCGCAAGGGAUGCUCCAUUCUCUGGGCUGACCUCGAGAGGGUGGUCAAGCCCAAUGUCGCUUUCCUGCGAGAGUUUGGGCUUGGUCCUUGUGAUAUUGCCAAGCUGUGCGUCGCUCAGCCAUGGCUACUCACCUCCAGGGCAGAGCGUGUCCGGGCGACGGCGGUGUGCGUCGAAGGUCUGGGUAUACCCCGAGGGUCUGGGAUGUUUAGGCAUGCACUCAAUGCUGUUGCAUUCGUCAGCAAGGAGAAAAUCGCCGCCAAAGUGGAGCACCUGAAGAAAACGUUCAGGUGGUCGGAUGCUGAGGUGGGCAUUGCUAUUUCUAGGGCUCCAAAUGUGCUGAAUAAGACUAAGGAGUUUCUGCAGAGAAGGUCAGAGUUCCUCAUCUCUGAUUUGGGGUUGGAACCCGCAUACAUUGCUCGUCGCCCCGUAAUGCUCUCGUACAGCCUGGAGCGCCGGCUAAGGCCCCGGAGCUACGUUGUGAAGUUUCUCAAGGCAAAUGGAUUGCUAGAUCCCGACCGGGACUUGUAUUCCGUGCUUGUACUGUCUGAGAAGGUAUUCAUGGAGAAGUACAUAUGCCCUCACAAGGAAGCUGCACCGUGCCUCGCUGGAGACUAUGCUGAUGCUUGCAAAGGGCUACUGCCGACUAAUUUCAGAUUUACAUGA
rnacentral:rRNA from 1 species